GGUGACACUCCAAAAUGCAGCUAGGAUUUCCGCAUUUUCACGUGUUAGUGUUGAAAUCAUUUUUACUUCAGGAAACCAAGGGUUGGACAAUGGCUUCCAGACUUUCUCCUUUCGUUAUGCUCCUUCAGCGCCUUAUGCAAAUACCGGUUGUCUUAUGCUGCCAUUCGUCUCCUCUGCCAGAAUGUGAGGUCCGCGACAGCAGGGAUAAGAAUGCAUUCAUUUUUAUAUCUGCAGUGCCUUGGAGAGUGUCUGACACAUAGUGGGCACUCAUUUAGAAACCACCAAUUGAAUCAUUAAGGUGACCAAAAACAGGGUGGGGGAAAUACGUCCAUCAGACAACAGGGAAAUAUUUCUUAAAAAAAAAAUUUCCCAAAACUAGCUUUUCCCUCCUUAUGUGUCUGAAAUAUCUCAUAAAAUUUUAAACUAUCCCUUUCAGCACAAAUCUGCCUGGAGCUGUUUCCUGAACACAGGACCAAAAGGCAGGAAUCAAAAGUAGUAAUGAGUUUAGUUAUCUGUCUGUUACUGAAGGUGACUUCUAGGGCAUCCUCCUGGCAUUGCUUCUGGAAUACAGUGACUUAGACUUAUUCGGAAGAACAUCUCUAUGCUGUUCAUCACAUCGCCAGCACCUAGCCCUGUGCCUGUGCAUAGUAAAUGCUCAGAAAAGAAAAAACAACAAAGUUUCCAGCUCUUACUCUAGAUUGACACUGGACCUUGGAGAUGCUUGCAGACCACAGCUGUUUGCCCUGUUGAAGCAACUGCUUGAGAGCUCCUCCGGAAGAUACAUCUGGGUGUCACUAAGAUACAUUUUGGGUUUAGUUUUGUUUCUCAACACAAAUGUAGGAGGGAAACAAACCCUGUUCUGCUGGGGUGCCUGGUGGGAGCUGAAAACCUUGUGAUUCUCCAGCAGUCAAAAGUCAUCUCAAUUACCAAAGAGAAGGGAACCUGAGAUCUUUUGUUUCAGUUUUCUAUAGGAAGGAUGUAAGAGGAAGGAAAUUCAAAUCUGUUGAGUAUUGCUCUUGCCAGCAAAAAGAAGUGGAACUGACUAGUGAGAUGGUGGUGAGAUUUUCUUUGGUGGCUGUGUGCAGUGGUAUCAACCCAGGAGAGUAGACUGUUCAAUUGUGAAGAAUUUUGCAAGAUGGUUGUUAAAGUAGAACAUCGUUAAAAUUAAGUUGUAAUAAAAAAAGGGAAAUAAGCAUUGGAAAAGAUGUGGACAGAUUGGAACCCUCAUACAUUGCUGAUGGGAAUGUAAAAUGGUGUAGCCACUGUGGAAAAAAGGUCAGCAGUUCCUUAAAAAGUUAAACAGUGUCACCAUAUGACUCAGCAUUUUCACUCCUAGAUAAAUACGUAGAUUGAAAACGUAUGUCCACACAAAAACUUGUACAGGAAUGAUCGCAACAGCAUUAUUCAUAAUAGCCAAAAA
rnacentral:lncRNA from 1 species